GACGUAGGGCGCGAGCGUUGUCCGGAUUUAUUGGGCGUAAAGAGCUCGUAGGCGGCUUGUCGCGUCGAAUGUGAAAACCCACGGCUCAGCUGUGGGCUUGCAUUUCGAUACGGGCAGGCUAGAGUUCGGUAGGGGAGACUGGAAUCCGGGUUGUAGUGGUGGAAUGACGUAGAGAUCCGGAGGAACACCAGCGGCGAAGGCGGCAUCCUGGACUGGUCCUGACACUCAGGAGCGAAAAGCGUGGGGAGCGAGUCC
rnacentral:rRNA from 1 species